CGUCUAUAUACGUAUAGCAUAUCAAUAAGCGGAGGAAAAGAAACUAACUAGGAUUCCCUCAGUAACGGCGAGUGAAGCGGGAAGAGCUCAAAUUUGAAAUCUUCAAGGUUCUACCUUGACGAAUUGUAGUUUAAAGAAGUGUUUUCUGUUGGAGUUUUGGUAAAAGUUCUUUGGAAUAGGACAUCAUAGAGGGUGAGAAUCCCGUAUUUGACCGUUACUUUCCAGCUGUGUGAUACACUUUCAAAGAGUCGGAUUGUUUGGGAAUGCAGCCCAAAAUGGGUGGUAAAUUUCAUCUAAAGCUAAAUACUGGCGAGAGACCGAUAGCGAACAAGUACCGUGAGGGAAAGAUGAAAAGAACUUUGAAAAGAGAGUUAAACAGUACGUGAAAUUGUCAAAAGGGAAGCGUCUGACACCAGUGUUGUUUUCUCGAAAAUCAAUUAAAAAUGGCGGGAUUUUGUGUUGUAUUGACUUUAUCAGCUUUCUGCACUUUUUUCCUGUCUUUUUUAAUGCACUUUUCGUUUAACAAGUCAACAUCAAUUUCUUUUGUUGUAAAAGGGUCAUUGGAAGGUGGCUUUCUUUUCGGAGAAAGUGUUUAUAGCCUUUGGCCUCUGCAAUCGGAGAGAUUGAGGUCUGCAGCGUAGAUCCUUCGGGGUUAGAUACAUUUGUGCUAAGCUAUAGCCUUUCAUAGACAACUUGUUGACUAUGAUCAGUCAUGUAGCUUACUCGCUUAUGUCAUUUUACCUACGCUUAGGAUGUUGAUCUGUAGUGCGUGCGC
rnacentral:rRNA from 1 species